UCCUACGGGAGGCAGCAGUGGGGAAUUUUGCGCAAUGGGGGCAACCCUGACGCAGCGACGCCGCGUGAGCGAAGAAGGCCUUCGGGUUGUAAAGCUCUGUCUAGGGGGAAGAUAGUGACGGUACCCCUGGAGGAAGCCCCGGCUAACUACGUGCCAGCAGCCGCGGUAAGACGUAGGGGGCGAGCGUUGUCCGGAAUUACUGGGCGUAAAGGGCGUGUAGGCGGCCUUUAAAGUCAGCUGUGAAAUCCCUUGGCUUAACUGAGGGCUUGCAGUUGAAACUUAAAGGCUUGAGUGCAGGAGAGGAAGGUGGAAUUCCCAGUGUAGCGGUGAAAUGCGUAGAUAUUGGGAGGAACACCGGUGGCGAAGGCGGCCUUCUGGCCUGUAACUGACGCUGAGGCGCGAAAGCUAGGGGAGCAAACAGGAUUAGAUACCCCGGUAGUC
rnacentral:rRNA from 1 species